CCACAAUGGACGAAAGUCUGAUGGAGCGACGCCGCGUGCGGGAUGAAGGCCUUAUGGGUUGUAAACCGCUGUCGAGGGGGGAAGAACAUCGGAAUGAACAAUACUCAUUCCGACUGACCGUUACCCCCAGAGGAAGCUCCGGCCAACUCCGUGCCAGCAGCCGCGGUAAGUACGGGGGGAGCAAGCGUUGUCCGGAAUUAUUGGGCGUAAAGGGCGUGUAGGCGGCGGGGUAAGUCGAAUGUAGAAAUCUCACGGCUCAACCGUGAAACUGCGUUCGAAACUACCCUGCUUGAGUACGGGAGAGGUGUACGGAAUUCCUGGUGUAGCGGUGGAAUGCGUAGAUAUCAGGAAGAACACCGGUGG
rnacentral:rRNA from 1 species